rnacentral:rRNA from 1 species
GUGGGGAAUAUUGGGCAAUGGGCGCAAGCCUGACCCAGCAACGCCGCGUGAAGGAAGAAGGCUUUCGGGUUGUAAACUUCUUUUAAGUGGGACGAUAAUGACGGUACCACUUGAAUAAGCUCCGGCUAACUACGUGCCAGCAGCCGCGGUAAUACGUAGGGAGCAAGCGUUAUCCGGAUUUACUGGGUGUAAAGGGCGUGUAGGCGGGACAGCAAGUCAGAUGUGAAAACUAUGGGCUCAACCCAUAGCCUGCAUUUGAAACUGUUGUUCUUGAGUGCUGGAGAGGCAAAUGGAACUCCUAGUGUAGCGGUGAAAUGCGUAGAUAUUAGGAAGAACACCAGUGGCGAAGGCGAUUUGCUGGACAGUAACUGACGCUGAUGCGCGAAAGUGUGGGGAGCAAACAGGA